rnacentral:rRNA from 1 species
UCCGCCUACGGGACGCAGCAGUGAGGAAUAUUGGUCAAUGGUCGGGAGACUGAACCAGCCAAGCCGCGUGAGGGAUGAAGGUACAGAGUAUCGUAAACCUCUUUUGUCAGGGAACAAAGGCGGGGACGCGUCCCCGGAUGAGUGUACCUGAAGAAAAAGCAUCGGCUAACUCCGUGCCAGCAGCCGCGGUAAUGCGGAGGAUGCGAGCGUUAUCCGGAUUUAUUGGGUUUAAAGGGUGCGCAGGCGGGCGGUUAAGUCAGCGGUCAAAGCCCGGGGCUCAACCCCGGCCCGCC